GCUUCCUCCAAUCUUCCUCGAUUCUUCACUUCCGAUACUUCAAUGGCUUCCAACAACUCCACUCCACCUCUCACUGUUGAUUCCUUAAACUCUAAGGUUUUGAAAUGUGAGUAUGCUGUUCGUGGUGAAAUUGUGUCUCUGGCUCAGAAAUUACAGCAAGAUUUGUAAGCAAAUCCAAGUUCUCAUCCUUUUGAGGAGGUAUUUU